GAACUGUACUAAAACAGGAUGGUUGUGUGUGCAUGUUUUAAACUUUUUUCAAUUUUUUUUUUUUUUUGCUAGCUAUGGUGAACAAAGAUUUGCAUGUUUGUCCGAGUUCAGGAUGGAAGAAUGGUUGUGUGUUUAUUUGGAAUGGAAUAAGAUGGUUGUGUUUGAAUUUUACAUUAAAAAUGAAAUGCGAAACGAUGGGCUAUGAAUGGUGCUUUUGUAUUUAUUUAUUUUGUUUGCGAAACUGUUAUGUUAGAUUGGCAUGAUCUUUUGUGGUUGUGUUAGUAAUGCCAUUGCCGUGUUAAUGGUCCCCCUUUAAACAAUUACGACCAGGUUCACUAUUUGUUUAAUUCAUAUCAUUGUGCAUGCAAUUGUACGUGACUAUUAUGCGUUAGUAAUGCCAUUGGUAACGCAAAUUUUUUACAUUAAAAAAGAUGUCGGCAUUCUGUAAUUGCAAACUGUUAUUACAUUUGAGUCAAUGCAUCACAUGCAAACUGAUUGAAACUGUGCCACUGUUGUAGGUUUCGCAAGAACCAAGACGUGACGAAUCCUUGGGUUGAAGCAACAAUGAGGAUUUAAGGGAAAUUCUUAAUCAAAUGGCCGUACAGCUGCAACAACAAAACAACUGGACAUUUCUACAAGCAUGCCAGUAUGUCACAGAGUGGUACGAAAAACACAUGGCUAAAACGCCAUGUCGUACUUCUAUAUUGACCGGGCAUGCAUGGAUAUCCAAACUAUAUGCAGGCCAUAUGGGUCGAUUUGAGGAAAAUGUUUGCAUGUCGAAGCAAGUUUUUGUCGCUUUGUGGGAGACAUUAGUAAAUGAUUUUGGGUUACAAGUACCGCAACGUCCACAUAGCUUAACUAUUGAAGAAAGCAUUGUAAUGUUUAUCCACGUGUUGAAAGGGAUACAAAAUCGGGAAAUCCAAGAACGGUUCCAACAUUCGGGAGAGACUGUGUCUCGGCACGUGCAUAACGUAUUAACUUCCAUGAAAGAGUUCACUGUUGUUCAUUGCCGGCCCACAUAUAGUCAGCAUCGUAUACAUCCAUACGUGCGGUCUAAAUGGAAAUACCUACCGUUCAAGGACUGUAUUGGAGCCAUAGACGGAACACAUGUAAGUGCAUGGGUUACGGGGCCAGAUGCGUCAACAUAUUUCGGUAGGAAAUACUGUCACACGCAAAAUAUCAUGGCCGCGUGCGAUUUUGACAUGUGUUUCAUCUUCAUUUCGUACGGAUGGGAAGGAAGUAUGCACGAUAGUUGUAUCUUCAACGAGAUACUAACAAAUGACAAUGCCCCAUUUCCACAUCCUGAAGAAGAUAACACAUUGCAUUGAAAAAUCGAUGGGGGCAAAUAUUAUCUUGUCGAUGCUGGCUAUCCAAACCGGGUAGGUUACCUAGCACCUUUCAAAGGCAGCCGUUACCACCACCAACAAUUCCGAAGCAGUCAAUAGAACAAGACAACAAAAACCCCAAGGGAAUUAUUUAACAAAGUUCACUCAUCGUAAUGCAGUGUGGUGGAAUGCACUUUCGGUGCCUGGAAAAAUCGAUGGGGGUUUAUUAGAGACAUGCCUAGGUAUGACUUUGCAAAUGUGCAAGUUCAGUUAGUAGGUGCGU